CCAUUUUCCAAAUCCAGAUAAAUAAUUUACAAUGGACUCUUGCAUCUGUACCAUUGAUUAAAGCCUUGCAACUCACUCUCUCUUUCUUUUUCUGGUAUUCGUGCUUUUAUCUUGAGCUAUGCUCCCUGUGGAUGUCAUUCGGAGUGUAUAUAACUAGAGUGCUCUUUCAGACAGUUUCAUUUGUUUCCUUUUUGUUCAUCUCUCAUGGCUAUUGCAUCACCUGCGCACGCCUUUCCAUAACGGAGUGUCGAACUACUUCUGCAAUCGGAUGUGUAUUUUACUCUACUCUUUUUGGCUACCGAGCUUUUAUACCUUAUUUCAAGAAUGUUAAAGAAAUUUCAGAGAGCUAUGCAAAUAGUUGCAGUGAAAGAAGGAAAUAAGAAAAGAAAAGAGAGCACGUGGGUUGUUUGAAAAAGCUAAUAAUGGAUGAAGGUAUAUUUGAAGGUUCGUUUCGCGAGAAAAAGAUUGGAAGCUAGAAAUCAAGUUGGUGAGAUUAAAUUCAAGUCAUAUUUUGGGUUUUGUUGACGU